rnacentral:rRNA from 1 species
CAGCUUUUGACAUGUCCGGUUUGAUCGGCAGAGAUGCCUUUCUUCAGUUCGGCUGGCCGGAACACAGGUGCUGCAUGGCUGUCGUCAGCUCGUGUCGUGAGAUGUUGGGUUAAGUCCCGCAACGAGCGCAACCCUCGCCCCUAGUUGCCAUCAUUCAGUUGGGAACUCUAGGGGGACUGCCGGUGAUAAGCCGCGAGGAAGGUGGGGAUGACGUCAAGUCCUCAUGGCCCUUACAGGCUGGGCUACACACGUGCUACAAUGGCGGUGACAAUGGGCAGCGAAGGGGUGACCUGGAGCUAAUCCCAAAAAGCCGUCUCAGUUCAGAUUGUACUCUGCAACUCGAGUACAUGAAGGUGGAAUCGCUAGUAAUCGUGGAUCAGCAUGCCACGGUGAAUACGUUCCCGGGUCUUGUACACACCG